GGAUUAGAUACCCUGGUAGUCCACGCCGUAAACGAUGUGUGCUAGUUGUCGGGGCUUAGGCUUCGGUGACGCAGCGAAAGUAUUAAGCACACCGCCUGGGGAGUACGGCCGCAAGGUUAAAACUCAAAGGAAUUGACGGGGACCCGCACAAGCGGUGGAGCAUGUUCUUUAAUUCGAAGCAACGCGAAGAACCUUACCCCCUCUUGACAUCCUGGUCGGGACUUUCAGAGAUGAUUGUCUUCGGUUCGGCCGGACCAGUGACAGGUGCUGCAUGGCUGUCGUCAGCUCGUGCCG
rnacentral:rRNA from 1 species